UACGUAGGGGGCAAGCGUUGGUCCGGAUUUAUUGGGCGUAAAGAGCGUGUAAGGCGGCCAGGUAGGUCCGUUGUUGAAAACUGGAGGCUUAACCUUCAAGACGUCGACCGAAACCAUCUGGCUAGAGUCCGGAAGAGGAGAGUGGAAUUCCUGGUGUAGCGGGUGAAAUGCGCAGAUAUCAGGAAGAACACCCGUGGCGAAGGCGGCUCUCUGGGACGGUACUGACGCUGAGACGCGAAAGCGUGGGGAGCGAACAGG
rnacentral:rRNA from 1 species